CGUGAGGGAAAGGUGAAAAGAACCCCGGGAGGGGAGUGAAAGAGAACCUGAAACCCUGUGUCUACAAGCUGCGGAAGCACGACUAACGUGCAACCGUGUACUUUUUGUAGAACGGUCCGGCGAGUUGCCGUUGCUGGCAGGUUAAGUACUUAAGGUACGGAGCCGAAGGGAAACCAAGUCUUAACAGGGCGGUAAGUCAGUAACGGCAGACCCGAAACCGGGUGACCUACCCAUGGCCAGGAUGAAGUCUGCGUAAAAGUGGAUGGAGGUCCGAACACACGUCUGUUGAAAAAGGCGGUGAUGAGCUGUGGGUAGCGGAGAAAUUCCAAUCGAACUCGGAGAUAGCUGGUUCUCCCCGAAAUAGCUUUAGGGCUAGCCUCGGUAUAGUCUAAUGGAGGUAGAGCACUGAAUCGCUGCGGGGGCGUCAAAGUCUACCAAAGCGUAUCAAACUCCGAAUGCCAUAUAGAUGUUUACCGGGAGUCAGACUGUAUGAGAUAAGUCGGACAGUCAAGAGGGAAACAGCCCAGACCAUCUGCUAAGGUCCCAAAGUGUAUGUUAAGUGGUAAAGGAUGUGGGGUUUCGAAGACAACUAGGAUGUUGGCUCAGAAGCAGCCAUUCAUUCAAAGAGUGCGUAAUAGCUCACUAGUCGAGAGGUCCUGCGCCGAAAAUGUCCGGGGCUGAAACAUAACACCGAAGCAAUGGAAUAUACCGUAAGGUAUGUUGGUAGGGGAGCAUUGAUAACACGAAGAAGCGGUACCGUAAGGAGUCGUGGAGAGUUAUCAAGAGAGAAUGCCGGAAUGAGUAGCGAGAUGAAGGUGAGAAUCCUUCAGGCCGUAUAUCCAAGGUUUCCAGGGUAAAGCUGAUCUGCCCUGGGGAAGUCGGGGCCUAAGGCGAGGCUGAAAAGCGUAGUCGAUGGAGAACUGGUGAAGAUUCCAGUACCGAAUGAUAUCAGAACUGCGGGGACACAUGGGGGAAGGAAGAGCCGGGAGAGAGAAGACCGGUGCAAGCGCCGAAAGGCGUGAAGCGGAACGAAGAAAAGUAGGGAAGCUUCCGGAGACUGUGGCGAGAAAAGCCGCUAUUGUGUAUCAUGAGCCCGUACCGCAAACCGACACAGGUAGAUGAGGAGAGAAUCCUAAGGCCGGCGGGAGAAGCAUUGUUAAGGAACUCGGCAAAAUGACCCCGUAACUUCGGGAGAAGGGGUACCGAAAGGUCACAGAAAAAAGGCUCAAGCAACUGUUUAGCAAAAACACAGGUCUAUGCGAAACCGAAAGGUGAAGUAUAUGGGCUGACGCCUGCCCGGUGCUGGAAGGUUAAGAGGAGAGGUCAGGCAACGAAGCUUUGAAUCUAAGCCCCAGUAAACGGCGGCCGUAACUAUAACGGUCCUAAGGUAGCGAAAUUCCUUGUCGGGUAAGUUCCGACCCGCACGAAAGGCGUAAUGAUUUGAGCACUGUCUCAACAAUGCACCCGGUGAAAUUGAAGUACCAGUGAAGAUGCUGGUUACCUGCGCCAGGACGGAAAGACCCCAUGGAGCUUUACUCCAGUUUGAUACUGGGGUUUGAUGAUGCAUGUACAGGAUAGGUGGGAGACUGCGAGGCGAGGACGCCAGUUUUCGCGGAGUCACUGUUGGGAUACCACCCUUGUAUCAUUGAAUUUCUAACCCAUGGCCGUAAGCCGGUCAGGGGACAAUGUCAGAUGGGGAGUUUGACUGGGGCGGUCGCCUCCGAAAGAGUAUCGGAGGCGCUCAAAGGUUCCCUCAGAAUGGACGGAAACCAUUCAAAGAGUGCAAAGGCAAAAGGGAGCUUGACUGCGACACUGACGGGUGGAGCAGGUACGAAAGUAGGACUUAGUGAUCCGGUGGUUUUAAGUGGGAAAGCCAUCGCUCAACGGAUAAAAGCUACCCUGGGGAUAACAGGCUUAUCACUCCCAAGAGUUCACAUCGACGGAGUGGUUUGGCACCUCGAUGUCGGCUCAUCGCAUCCUGGGGCUGAAGUCGGUCCCAAGGGUUGGGCUGUUCGCCCAUUAAAGCGGUACGCGAGCUGGGUUCAGAACGUCGUGAGACAGUUCGGUCCCUAUCUGUCGCAGGCGCAGGAUAUUUGAAAGGAGCUGUCCUUAGUACGAGAGGACCAGGAUGGACAUACCAAUGGUGCAACAGUUGUCACACCAGUGGCACAGCUGUGUAGCUAAGUAUGGAAGGGAUAAACGCUGAAAGCAUCUAAGCGUGAAGCCCCCCUUAAGAUAAGAUAUCCCACAACGUCAAGUUGGUAAGAUUCCAGUUAGACUAACUGGUUGAUAGGUUAGAGGUGUAAGUGUGGUGACACAUUUAGCUGACUAAUACUAAUAAUCGAGGGCUUAACCAA
rnacentral:rRNA from 1 species